rnacentral:rRNA from 1 species
UGGGGAAUUUUGGACAAUGGGCGAAAGCCUGAUCCAGCAAUGCCGCGUGUGUGAAGAAGGCCUUCGGGUUGUAAAGCACUUUUGUCCGGAAAGAAAUCCUUGGCUCUAAUACAGUCGGGGGAUGACGGUACCGGAAGAAUAAGCACCGGCUAACUACGUGCCAGCAGCCGCGGUAAUACGUAGGGUGCAAGCGUUAAUCGGAAUUACUGGGCGUAAAGCGUGCGCAGGCGGUUUGCUAAGACCGAUGUGAAAUCCCCGGGCUCAACCUGGGAACUGCAUUGGUGACUGGCAGGCUAGAGUAUGGCAGAGGGGGGUAGAAUUCCACGUGUAGCAGUGAAAUGCGUAGAGAUGUGGAGGAAUACCGAUGGCGAAGGCAGCCCCCUGGGCCAAUACUGACGCUCAUGCACGAAAAGCGUGGGGAGCAAACAGGAUUUAGAUACCCCUGGUAGUCCACGCCCUAAACGAUGUCAACUAGUUGUUGGGGAUUCAUUUCCUUAGUAACGUAGCUAACGCGUGAAGUUGACCGCCUGGGGAGUACGGUCGCAAGAUUAAAACUCAAAGGAAUUGACGGGGUCAUAGCUGUUUCCU